CUAUGUUAUGAAUUAUGUUAUGAAAAUUAUGCUAUGGACUGACAUUCAGGUACACCGGUGUAGUCGCCGUUAGUUGGGUAGUAGAACUCACUGAGGCUUAGUAGUCUCAUCCCACGCUUAUUAAUUUUUUUCAGAUAAGCAGAAAUCACAUGGUAAGCAGGCUAUGGAGUAGCUGCUGCAGCUGGAUGAAUUAUGUUUAGAUGCUUUUUUUGUACUUCUAUCAUGUAUUUUGAUCAUGGCAUGUACUGUAUAAGACUUUGUUCUUAUGUCUGAACUUUUGUUUUAGCACCUGUGUGUGCCACCUUAAUUAUGUCAGGAAUUGUAAACUUAAUGUACCAAGUAUUAAUUAUGUACAAACCUGUUAUAUUCUAGAUAUUUAACUUGGGAUGUUAUAAUUGGUAUCAGAGCAGGUCGAUUCAGACUGUGCCUU
rnacentral:lncRNA from 1 species